rnacentral:lncRNA from 1 species
AUGCAGAAGACCAUCGUAGUAAGAAUACUCUGCUCCACAAUGGAGCACCAUUUCCAGAUAAAUAAAGGUUUCCUCACAAGAAGAUUUGUAACACAUCAUGCUGGCCCUAACAAUAAAACGUAAGUUUU